AUGUUCAUAUUUUGGGUACACAUUGUUGGACAAGGAUUCAAGACUUUCCAAGUCCCAAACCAGGGAAUAUUUGUAAGUGACUCUGUUAAUUGGUUGCUAUCCAAGUUUAUUGUUUCUCUUGAUUUGAAGAAAGAGUCGUAUCAAAAGCUUUCACUACCCGAUCCUAAGCAAUUAACAAUUUCAGGUUUUGUUUCCUUAGAAACAUUGAGAGGUUGUUCGUCCCUUCUUUUUAGUGACAACUCUUCUGCUGAUGUUUGGAUUAUAAAAGAAUUUGGUAAUCAAAAGUCUUGGACUAAAUUGUUAACUGUUUCUUACUUGAAAGCAUGGGGUCCUUGUCCCAUUACUUAG